CCAUGAACAAAACAGCAGCAGCAAGAACACUUUGCACUAUCUUAGUGCUCAUUCCUUUGUAAAAACCAUGGAACCCUUCAUAACGUAUCAUCUUUAAUAUCGCAUCCAGUGUGCCUAAUGGAAAACACAUCAUGUAGGUAUUUCCGCUUGUAAGGGGAAGAGCUCGGGAUGACUGUAUUGCACACACCACGACAUUUAGUGUGGGAUGAUUUACUCUGAUAUUUGGACAUGUGAUUUUGAUAUAGUGUUUUGAUAUGAUGUUUUGAGAUGCUAUCACUUAUGUUUUUAUGAGAUGAUUUGGGUUACCAUGGUAUUAUUUAUAAAUCAAAAAUGAAAUUUUUGGACUGUA